AGCGAACGCUGGCGGCAGGCCUAACACAUGCAAGUCGAACGAACUCUUCGGAGUUAGUUGCGGUCGGGUGUGUCACACGUCGGAACGUUCCUUUUUGCUCCGGAUUCUACAUGGUCACUUGUGCUAAUACCGGAUGUGCUCUUCGGGUGAAAGAUUUAUCGCCCUUAUAGCGGCCCGCGACUUAUUAGCUAGUUGCUGAUGUAACGGCGCACCACGGCUACGAUCAGUAGCUGGUCUGAGAGGAUGACCAGCCACACUGGGACGGAGACGCGGCCGAGGCUCCUACGGGAUGCGGCAGAGGGUAAUCCAGCGCAACGGGGGAAAGGCAGACGGAGCCAGGGCGGGAGAAUGAUGAAGGUCGGAGGAAAAUAAAAUUCUUUCACCGGGGACGAUAAUGACGGUACCCGAAGAAGAAGCCCCGGCUAACUUCGUG
rnacentral:rRNA from 1 species